GUGUGGUUGACUAAUACAAGCAUCAAAAGCUUCUCCCUGGCUGGGGAAACAACGCUCCUCUGUCACCCUCUGUCAUGACACAUCCUGCACCAUACCUGCCACAGGUAUCAUAAAGUGUCUUCUCAACCUCUUCAUCUGUGAGAGUUGUGAUCUGCACCAGGUCCACGUCUUCUGUGUAGUUAUACUUCACCUCCGUGAAGGUCCAUCCAACUAAGGCAUAAACCCCUUCAGUGGUCUGGAGCGUGCAGAUCGACUUCUUUGCCAGUAUGUUAUCUGGAGACACUUGUAGCCAUUUUGUGUAGCCAGAUACAAUCGUCUUUUCCCUGUGAUGGCGUUGAGCUGAACCUCUGUGACCAGGAGGGGCCCAAGUGAGUCUGUUAGUCUGGCGAUGGAGCUUCUGGUCUCUGCAUGGACCUUCUCCUGCCCCACAGCUCUGCGAGACCUGGCUGGGCUUUUACCUCCAUCCUGAUGCUCUGCCCCUGCUGCCAGGCUGCUGCGAG